rnacentral:rRNA from 1 species
UACAGAGGGUGCGAGCGUUGUUCGGAAUUACUGGGCGUAAAGCGCGCGCAGGCGGCCUUUUAAGUCUCGUGGGGAAAUGCCGGGGCUCAACCCCGUGCCCGCCGGAGAUACUGGGAGGCUGGAGACGAGUAGAGGCAAGCGGAAUUCCGGGUGUAGCGGUGGAAUGCGUAGAGAUCCGGAAGAACACCGGAGGCGAAGGCGGCUUGCUGGGCUCUGUCUGACGCUGAGGCGCGAAAGCGUGGGGAGCGAACAGG